rnacentral:rRNA from 1 species
GUAGGUGGCAAGCGUUGUCCGGAAUUAUUGGGCGUAAAGCGCGCGCAGGUGGUCUUUAAGUCUGAUGUGAAAGCCCCCGGGCUCAACCGGGGAGGGUCAUUGGAAACUGGGGAGCUUGAGUGCAGGAGAGGAAAGUGGAAUUCCACGUGUAGCGGUGAAAUGCGUAGAUAUGUGGAGGAACACCAGUGGCGAAGGCGACUUUCUGGCCUGUAACUGACACUGAGGCGCGAAAGCGUGGGGAGCAAACAGGAUUAGAUACCCUGGUAGUCCACGCCGUAAACGAUGAGUGCUAAGUGUUGGGGGGUUUCCGCCCCGUCACGUGCUGCAGCUAACGCAUUAAGCACUCCGCCUGGGGAGUACGGUCGCAAGACUG